AACGAACGCUGGCGGCAUGCCUAACACAUGCAAGUCGAACGAGACCUUCGGGUCUAGUGGCGCACGGGUGCGUAACGCGUGGGAACCUGCCCUUAGGUUCGGAAUAACUCCCCGAAAGGGGUGCUAAUACCGGAUAAUGUCUUCGGACCAAAGAUUUAUCGCCUUUGGAUGGGCCCGCGUUGGAUUAGCUAGUUGGUAGGGUAAAAGCCUACCAAGGCGACGAUCCAUAGCUGGUCUGAGAGGAUGAUCAGCCACACUGGGACUGAGACACGGCCCAGACUCCUACGGGAGGCGGCGAGGGGGAAAAUUGGACAAGGGGCAAAAGCCUGAUCCGCCACUGCCGCGUGAGUAGUAAAGGCCUAGGGGUUGAAAGGCUCUUUUCCCCGGGAUGAAAAGGACAAAACCGGGAAAAAAGGCCCCGGCUACCCCCGU
rnacentral:rRNA from 1 species